CACACACACACACACUUAAUUUUGCUGUGAAGUCCUUGAUUAUAUUUAAAACUGUGACACAGUUAAGUAGUAUAUAAAUUCAUGGAAACACAUGGCUUAUUCCAAUUUGCUUAAUUUAACGAAAAAGCGAUUAAAUGUUCUUCCUAAAUGUGUCAUAUCUAAGACCCAACACCGCCUCUGGCAAAAAAUGUGCCGGUUACAUUCCCAACAAGCGUCUCAACGAGAUCAAAAAUAUGAUGGAUCUAAUUAUGGCCAACUUUCAGUGUUAAGGCUGCCAUGCUUAAUUAAGAAGAAAAAUGAAACAGAAAAGGAAUCAAAGAUACAAGUACAUUAAACCUGAGACUAUCUCCUGCAAAACCUAAUACCAGGCUUCAUAUUCUUUAAUGGCUCCGAUAAAUGGGCGAAGAAAAGAGAAGUAACCAAAUGAAAUGCUAAAUAUUAAAACUGAUCAACAAUAGCUUUCACUAUUUCAGUUGCAGAUUUUAUUUCAGACUUGAAAUGGUCAACAUGGACGCUCUUCAGACUAUUCGUGUGAUAAAUGUAAGAUCAAUCGUGCAAGAAUUGACUUAACUAUUCAACAAAUCUCAUAUUAUAUUUAUUUAAUUGUCUAUAAAUUUCCUAAGCAAAUUCAUCAUUUUGAAUGAAUUUUUUGCGAUUUUCAAAAUAAGCAAUUAACCAACUUAGAAAAUAUCAUUACUGAAGACGAAAAGAUUCCAUUCAUAAUGCAAUAUUUCCAUAAUCUUCUAUAAAAAAUGAAGGACAUUGUACAUCACAAAAAUAUAUUAUGAAAAAUAGAGGACUUUAUGAAGACAUUCUGUCAAAACCAAAAUUUUAUGCAGAGCAAAAGAACUUUCAAGUAAAAAUAAUGGUCUCUUUUUGACAAAACAUAAAACUUCUAAGUUCAUAUGUUGCGUUCGUGAUUUUCUCAAAGUAGCUAACAGCGUAUAAGUAACUUAACCUUUAUUUUCUCACAUACGCACAGAGCUACAAUCUUCAAAGAAAAGAAUAAAGCAAAUUGAACCGACCUGUUACAUGACUGGUACGUAUAUUACUGAGCCCGGAUGGAUGAAAGACCUCAGCAGAAUUUGAGCUCAAAACGUAGAGGCUGACUUAAAGUUUAGUCUACUGUUUUAUUAUUCCAUCUCAUUUCCUUGUAGGAAUAUUAACAUUAAAACACAGCAAGCUCUACCAUAUUGAUUCUUACAUCUCAAAUUGUAACUCAUCAUGAUUGUGACGUUUCCAUCCUUACAAAGCCUUUGAGAAUUUGAGCCAGCAUGUUAAAUAAAGGUACUUCUUUUAAUCCAGCAAUGACAAUUUACUCAAUUAUUUUUUCUCUAUAAUAUAUAUAUUGAUACUUUUUUUUACCAAAUAAAUAUUUAUAUAAUAAUA